rnacentral:lncRNA from 1 species
CGUGUGGAAAGAGUCCAAACAAUUCAGCAUUUUCUUCUGUGCACAUUUCACCACAACUGGAGGAGUUUUUGUUUAAUAUACAUUCUGGGUAUACUUUAGUUCAAAAGGGAUCAAAAUUGCCAUCUAACAGGUAUCUUAAAGGAUUCCUGGUAACUACUUCCACAAAUAAGUAUUCAUUCCACAGUGUGAGCUGUUGGCUUUGAAUUCUCUGAGAACAAGGAAUGUUGGUCAGAGUUCACUUCCUAAAUACAUAGACAUAGAACUAACAGGUUGAAAUAGAAUAUAAUCUCAGUGAGUUACUUUGUUGAAGAAUAUUUGAUUGAAUAUUUAGUUACAGUAAGAUUUUAUAAAAUAGAGAUCCCUUCUACUUGCAACUUGUAAAGUUUCUGCAGAAUUAAAUGCUAUUUUAUUUAUAGAUUAGGAAACUCUCACCAGUGUCUGAGUCCAGGAUCACAGUAUGGGAAUGACAGGUGUGACCUUGAAUGCAGCUUCGGUUGACUGACAUUAAAGCCAAUGUUGUUAAAAACUAAAGCUUAGCAACAACGUUUUACUAUUUUUAUAGGAUACUGUAAGAAAUAAUUUGACUUUUAAGAAAUCUUAAAUAUAAAUUUCCUCUGCAUUAAUGUAGUACCUCAUAGUUAAAACCUACUUUCUUCAUACACAGCCUUUUCCUUUCUUACAAUAAAACAUGUUUAGCUUUCUAUGCUUUUUUUAAUCAUGAUAAAAAUGAAGCCAUAGUAACUAUCAAGGUCAUAGAAGUAUAGACGUAGAUGCCCAAUUUUUAAACUACUUUCACCUUAUAAGUUGUUCAAACUUCAUUAUUAGAGAAUUCUAAAAUGAGAAAAAUUAGAUUCUUAAAAAACCUAAGAAUGUUCAAGGUGGAAGUGUCCGUCUAUAACAUACAAUUUCACAACUUAAGAGUAGAAGCAAGAAAGGUAAAUACUUUUAGGAGGUUCCAAACUAGUCUUGAGUUAUCCCAACAAGAGCGGAGGGGGAGGAAUGAUUGUGAACAGAAAGUCUGACUGGACUUUCUCUGCAGUGAAGAGAAUUUAGAGUCUCUGCUCAAGACGCCCCCUGGCCAAGAGACGUUAAAACAGACAGAAAAGACUUUGCAUGUUUCCCUUCUACCGUGUGGCCUACUGAAACUUGGGUCUUGUUUAAAAGGCAUCUGAUUUUAUGCAGACACAUGUCGGAAAAGUUAGACUCUCUUGUUCAGACUUCCAUAUGGUAAUGUCUUGUAAUGUAAGGACAUAGUAUCCACUGACCCAGAGAGUUAGACAUCGCAGACUGCACAAUGGGAAACCGCGUUUCUGUACCAGUGAAACAGUCUGAUCAGACUACAGUGGGAGGAAAAUUCCCUAAUUCACAAACUUCCCUGAUUUUUUUUACCCUCUGUAAGAACAUAAAUACACAGCUAAAGAAAAACUGCAUGUGCAAAUAAUACCAUAUUCAUUUUUUAUUUAACAUGGGGAUGGAAUGGGGAUAGCAUACAUUUUAUUUGUACAAUAUUUAACAAUCACUUAUUCAAGGUGGGAUUUUAUGGGGAUUUUUUUCAUUUUUAGCUUUCUGUUAAAUACUUGCAGAAAAAAAAAUAGCAAGUACAAUAUGACAGUAGUACAACAACCUGUGCCCAAAACACUGACAAGAAAUACAGAGUAAAGCUAAAAUAAUUGUUUCCCAAUAUUUUGAGAGGUAACAAAUAGGGAGAUACGGGUUGAGACUGCAUAAAAAACGUACUGCUGGUUGAAUAUCUGAGGUAAAUGAUGUUUAAUCAAGAUGCUACUUGUAUCUUUGUCCAUAAAUUGUAAAUAAUUUUAUGCACAUUAUACCAAAUCUUCCUAAAAAGUAAUUUUUCAAAAAAGUAAAAAAGAGAAACUGGAAAAUAUCUGAUGAAGCAUUUUUUUAAAAAACAGUAAUCAGUCUAUUCCACUAAACUACCAUCUAUCUGGUGAGGGUAUUUUUCCCAACCAUUUGAAUUUUACUUAAAUGUGACUUAAUUAUUAAGGAUAAGAAAAAGGGCCAGAAGCGAUGUUUUCAUAAUUUUGUGAUACAUGAUUCUGUUUUUAAGUCCAAACGUAUUUGUUUUUGUUUUUCCUGGUUGUAUUUUUAGAAUAUCACCAUGAAAGAUAGUGCAAGUUCAUGGGACCAAUAAUUGUGAGGCACAGUCUCUGUUCUGGAAUUCACAAGGUACCUGUAAUAAAACAUCCAAACAAGAGUCACAAAUCACAUGCUAAAACUCCUAGCAUCUAAAACACAUACAAGAUCUGUGCAGGGCAUAGAUAGACUUCAAAUAAAUUCAAACACUGGUUACUCCGUCAGUCCUGUGGCAGUUGAUCAUAAAGCAUUCUCACACGGGAGAUCUGGGCAAGGUAGAGUAAGAGCAGCAGUUCUGGUGGGUGUCAGAAAGGCAAAGUACAAGACAUCAUGAGCACCAUACACAUGAAGGUAUACAGGGGUCCAAGUUUGCCAUCUCCCUAGAAAUGAAUCGUUUUCACUCUUUGAUCUUUCUUUUUCAUUGUCCCUAACUCAAACUUUCUAUCUGCCCACUCUGCACUUACUGUAAACCAAACACGAAAAUGCCCUGCAAAAGAAAGUCACAAGACUAGGCAUAAGGACAGGUAGUCACUGGAACAUUCUUAACGUUACUGCUUAUAAAAAAGGCUUUCUUGUUAAUGUAGUUCUUAAGAGAAUACAAGUUUUAAAAUUGAUAAGCUAGAUUUACAUACAAUACCCAAGAUUUCUAAAACAUAAAUUCCCUAGCGUGAAGACAAAGCAUUUUAUAUCAUGAACCAGUCUUGGUAAAAUUUAUCUGUAGUGCUUUCCUAAGCCGAACAGUCAUAAUAUCCCUCAUGUAUCAGCUCUUAAAGGGAGUUGAAUGUUUACAACCAGUAGCAGUUUGCUUAUGGAUGAAAAGUUUCCUUGUAUGCAUAUUUUCUUAUGGUUUUCCUUGAUUACAAGUGGAAGCAAACCUGAAUCAAAAAUUUGAGGGGCCAAAUAUGUAGGAAUAUGUCAAAAACAGUGAACACUGAACUUGGCAAUCUUAGGAAUACAGUGACACCUUGGGUACAUAGACAACGUACAAUUCUCUAUGGUAUGUGGCAUACAGACAAGAAUGCUAUUAUCCUCCCCACUUAAAGUCUGUUGACCUAUGUAUUGUUUAUGAUUAUUCUUCCCAGAGAUUAGUGCACAUUAUAUGUAAAAGGUAGUGUCUGAUGUCUUAACCAUCUGAAGAUAAUGCAUUCACAGUGAGCUCCUGAUAGUAACAUAACAAGUUUAUAAAAUUAAUGUAUGGAUGUUAAAGUGACUCAAUAAAAAUGUAUAUAACAUAAUACUGGCUAUUUGUUGGUAAUUGAAAAAUUCAGGGAAUUAAUCUUUUACUUGGGCCUGUGUAAGCUUGAGGAAAGAUCCCAUUAUAUUUUAAUGUAAUAUUUUGAAAAGCACUCUGGUACCU